rnacentral:rRNA from 1 species
UACGUAGGGUGCGAGCGUUAAUCGGAAUUACUGGGCGUAAAGCGUGCGCAGGCGGUUUUGUAAGUCUGACGUGAAAUCCCCGGGCUUAACCUGGGAAUUGCGUUGGAGACUGCAAGGCUGGAGUCUGGCAGAGGGGGGUAGAAUUCCACGUGUAGCAGUGAAAUGCGUAGAGAUGUGGAGGAACACCGAUGGCGAAGGCAGCCCCCUGGGUCAAGAUUGACGCUCAUGCACGAAAGCGUGGGGAGCAAACAGG